rnacentral:lncRNA from 8 species
CCCUGGGAGACUGUGAACCUAAUCCGUAUACAAGCAGAGGCAUACAACUGCCAUCACAAGUAACAUGCAGAAGAAACAGAGCAGUUUAGGACCUAAUUGAGGAGGAAAAGUAAGGGAAGCGCCUUACUUACAUAAGAUCGGACAUGACAACUCCAGACUUCCUUUGGCAAGCGAAGGUUGCAGUUGCACAGGUCAGAAAACAGAAGAGACUGCCAGCCUCUCUCUCAACUUUCAAGGUGAGACCUGAUUCUUUGUAUCAGCAGGAAGCCGUUGCCAAGGGAACAGAAAUACUUGACUGUUGAUAAAGAAUGUCAGGCAAUCAAGGAGGGAGCUGGAGGUGCUGAGGCAGACUAUGAGAGGGCUGCAUCUCAACCUCCUCUCUCUACUUCCUCUCUGACUGAACAUGCGUCGGUCUGUAGUCUCAAUAUAGGUGAGAAUGAAAUACCAGGGAUGCCCAGCGGCAUCGCUACAUCGCUCUUUCCGUCCCUCUCUCCUACAUCAACAUUCAAGAUUUUUGCUCCGUGGAUCACAGGUCUGUCAAAGCAUGUCCACAUGGAAACGUGUGUGUCAUAUUUUGAAUGUCAGUUAUUACCCCACCAGAUAAGGUGGGUAGCAACAGAGAGGAAGGUUGAGUCUGAGUCGGCCAAUAAGAGGCAGCAUGACGCUGGAUGCACUCAGAUGUCCUUGACUGCGUUGAAUCCAUUACCCACCAAGCACAAGCGUCCAUACCACCAGCUGCUGUUUGUUCUCUGAUGAGCACUUUUCUGUCAAAUACAAAUCAUUCCUUCAGCUCAAUCGAAAGUAUCUCUACACCAUCUCUGCAUCCGGCACUUUGUUUUAGAAACUGCUAUAAAAUACUGAGAAUCACCCCAUGUCACCCCUUCAGUCCAUAUAUAUCCUCUGGCUAUUGAUUCUACAGCUUUUAUACUAUAAGGUUGUGUAUUUAUUUUCUUAGUCAGCCUUGUGUUCUGUUUCAUUGUGUUCUUGAACGUAGCCCUGUCUUUCAUUUUGUUCAUUGAUUUCACCUGUGUUAGUCACUCACCUGGUCUCAUUAGCUCUUUAUUUAGUUCAGUUCAUUCUGUUUGUGCCUUUGUGAGGUAUUGUUCGUUUUGACUCUACUAAGCCUUUUCCUAGCUCGUCUGUGAGAACCAGUUAUAGCCUUCAGUCCUAACUUGGAUUCACCUGCCUGUUUGCCUACCUGUGUAUUGCCUGCCUGUGACCACGAUUCCUACCGUCUGCGAAUGCAAAAUAAACACCUGCCGC